CUGGCGCUGUGGAGGUUCCAAUGGCCGCCAUGUUGUCUCAGAGGGACACGCCACAGGCUGCUGGAACUCUGGCUCCAUUUUGUGGGUGCAAGUUUCUGGCUUCCGUUUUAAAGAAGCAAGAGAACCUAUCAGCGUUGUCAAUUCUAAGAAAGUGAGUGCCAAGAGCAGUUGUUCCACUCCAUAAGUUCCCUCCUGGAGGCUGUGUGAGACACCAGGCUGCAUGUCAGAAACGGCUGUGCUCCAGAAGGCUACCAGGGUCAUCGUGAGGGCCUUGCAGAUUUCAGAAAUGAAGUGACCUGCCUUGAGUCUUCCCUCAGCCUCCUCACUCCACUGUAGUCUCCAGAGAGUGAGGACAACAAAACUCUCUUCUCCCCACAUUACCACUUCAGCGCUGACCUGUGGCUUGAGAAUCUAAUCUGUGUGCACGGUGGCAAAAUCUUGGUUUUACAGGUCUCACCUGACAGCUAGUCCUGAUUUUUCCAUGAUGUGUGGGUAAAAAGUGGGUUCUUGAAGGGAAACCUCAAUGUAGCUUAGCUCUUGAGAAAACAGUAUGUGCAUCUGCUU
rnacentral:lncRNA from 1 species